rnacentral:rRNA from 1 species
GAUGAACGCUGGCGGCGUGCCUAAUACAUGCAAGUCGAGCGAACAGACGAGGAGCUUGCUCCUCUGACGUUAGCGGCGGACGGGUGAGUAACACGUGGAUAACCUACCUAUAAGACUGGGAUAACUUCGGGAAACCGGAGCUAAUACCGGAUAAUAUAUUGAACCGCAUGGUUCAAUAGUGAAAGACGGUUUUGCUGUCACUUAUAGAUGGAUCCGCGCCGCAUUAGCUAGUUGGUAAGGUAACGGCUUACAAAGGCAACGAUGCGUAGCCGACCUGAGAGGGUGAUAGGCCACACUGGAACUGAGACACGGUCCAGACUCCUACGGGAGGCAGCAGUAGGGAAUCUUCCGCAAUGGGCGAAAGCCUGACGGAGCAACGACGCGUGAGUGAUGAAGGUCUUCGGAUCGUAAAACUCUGUUAUUAGGGAAGAACAAAUGUGUAAGUAACUAUGCACGUCUUGACGGUACCUAAUCAGAAAGCCACGGCUAACUACGUG